rnacentral:rRNA from 1 species
UAGGGAAUCUUCGGCAAUGGACGAAAGUCUGACCGAGCAACGCCGCGUGAGUGAAGAAGGUGUUCGGAUCGUAAAACUCUGUUGUUAGAGAAGAACAAGGACGUUAGUAACUGAACGUCCCCUGACGGUAUCUAACCAGAAAGCCACGGCUAACUACGUGCCAGCAGCCGCGGUAAUACGUAGGUGGCAAGCGUUGUCCGGAUUUAUUGGGCGUAAAGCGAGCGCAGGCGGUUUCUUAAGUCUGAUGUGAAAGCCCCCGGCUCAACCGGGGAGGGUCAUUGGAAACUGGGGGACUUGAGUGCAGAAGAGGAGAGUGGAAUUCCAUGUGUAGCGGUGAAAUGCGUAGAUAUAUGGAGGAACACCAGUGGCAAAGGCGGCUCUCUGGUCUGUAUCUGACGCUGAGGCUCGAAAGCGUGGGGAGCAAACAGG